rnacentral:rRNA from 1 species
GACGAACGCUGGCGGCGUGCUUAACACAUGCAAGUCGAACGGAAAGACCCGGCUUUUGUUGGGUUCUCGAGUGGCGAGCGGGGGAGUAACACGUGAGUAAAAUGCACUUGACUUUGGGAUAACUUCAGGAAACUGGGGCUAAUACAGGAUAGGAUCUCCUGAUGCAUGGGGGGGGAUGGAAAAUUUCGGCGGUUGUGGCUCGACUGGAGGCUUAUCCGCUUGUUGGUGGGGUAGGUGAUUUCACAGGCUUUGACGGGUAGCCGGCCUGAGAGGGUGGCCGGCGACAUGGGGACUGCGAUACGGCCCAGACUGCUAUGGGAGGCAGUAGGGGAGAAUAUUGCAGAGCGAGGCGAAGCCUGAGGCAGCAACGCUGCGUGCGUGAUGACCGGUUUCGGGUUAUAAACCGCUUUCGCAUGUGACGAAGCGUGAGUGACGGUAAUGGGUAAAGAAGCACCGGCUAACUACGUG